rnacentral:rRNA from 1 species
UACAUAGGCUCCAAGCGUUGUUCGGAAUUACUGGGCGUAAAGCGAGUGUAGGCUGUCCGCCAAGUCGAUUGUGAAAUCUCCCGGCUUAACUGGGAGGGUGCGGUCGAAACUGGCGGACUAGAGUUCGGGAGAGGAGAGUGGAAUUCCUGGUGUAGCGGUGAAAUGCGUAGAUAUCAGGAGGAACACCGGCGGUGAAGACGGCUCUCUGGACCGAUACUGACGCUGAGACUCGAAAGCGUGGGGAGCAAACAGG